GCAUUGGUUUUGCUCAACGUUGUGUCUCCAGCACAUCCUAGAAAAAGUGAUCACAACUUUGACCUUCAGUGAUUGUUUGUUUAAGCAACAAAUGGAUGAACAGAUCAUUACUGUUAUUAGUUAUUCAAAAUGCCCAACGUACUUGGCCCUCCAAGUCUAUGUUCUUCAAAAGAAGAAAAGAAAACUGGAAACUCUAAUGACAGUGUGCUGCUCAUGAAGUGAACUGGUGCAUAGCAAUCAGUGCAGCAGUUUGUCCCCAGGAAGGACGGGCCUCUACAGGACUCAAGCCACGAGUUUCACUCUUAACCUUCCAACAGACCUCGGCGAUUGUGAAGUCAUCUUCUUGCAUUCUGUGCCUACUUUGCACUCCCGGUAUGGCCAUCGGAACUUAUUGGAGUAUCAUUUCCCCAUAAAUAUCUCCAAGUCCUCUCCCACCAAGCCUGGUCCUGCAGGGGGUGUCUCAUUUGCAUCUGAAGGUAUCAAAAUCUUGCUGAGCAAGCCUCUUCCAUCCCAAACAUCUUUUGAGAUCUGAGGUCAGCACCGUUUUAACAUGAUGCUUCUUGCUUUCCCUGAGGCCUGUUCCAGGAAGAUACUACAUGCAAAUCAGACCUGAUAUCACCAGGCUCCUCACAGCCACAAGAAGAAUGAACCCGGAGAUGUGAAGCCUGGUUCACCUGCCAAGUCACCACGUGACCUCUGGGCUGACCUGAAAAAACGUACGUGGUGUCGACCUUCGCCUUCUCACUCCCUCCAGUGACAACUCCUUCCGAAGAACACAGCUUUGUCGCCAUCUCUCCAUCAUUCCUGGAUGUCACCCGUCAGUUGCUUACUCUGGCUGUUGCAGGAAACGUCUACAGGACAAAAGUUUUCCUGGCUUCAGGUCAAACUAACAUUUGGAAGAUGCUGAUAUGGCUCAACUCGCUAUCCACACGAACCCCACUGAGUGGUUUUACAACUUCUGCUUGAUAAGUGCAGGGCUGGGCCACAAGUCUCUCUAACUUCCAAGAGCAGCCUCUCUACUGCUGGACAGGUAUGAACUUGCGAGCAGCCUUCCUUGCGUCACGCCAAGAGACCAUUCUGCAGCUAUGGCCUCUAGCCUCGUGUCCGUUCUCCGUGGUCUCAUGGGCAAACCCACCGUCUGCGGGCACAGUAAUUAGCACUUAAGGAGCACCAGCUCUUGGGCUGGCCGUCUCUUCCACCCCUCUCCGCUCACGCACACACACAAAGACCCGCUGAUGUUACCAGGUACGGUUGUCAGCACUCCCAUUUUGCAGUGAGGCUCGAUGCACUCAGAUGACGAGGUCACGCGGACGGUAGGCGGCAGAGGUGAGAUCCAAACUGCGUCUCUGACUCAGCAUCUCUCAUGCUGGCUCGUAUGCAGAUAGAGAGUGUGGGAAGAAGACAGACGGCCUCUCUAACUCCACCCAGGACCCAGGAGCCUCUGCGUCCUGUGGCCUCUGACUCCACCAUUCAUCACGGUUUAUUCUUUUAUAAAAUUUACUGAACCAAGAUUCCUCAAGGGAGGAACAACCUAAGACAGGCACAGU